CGUUAUCUCUGUUUUACAAAAGCAGAUUCAGAAGUUAAAAUCUAUCUAUAAUAAUAAAGGAGACUUUUCUCUCUCCUCAUGCUGCCACCUCAGCCUCUCUCCAUAGGGCAAUUUGUGACAUCUGGCAGAUCAAAAUUAAUCAUCUCAAGUUUUCCUCAGUGACAUAAACUGUAUGAGCCAGUUUUUGGGUCACAUGUUUACAUGUCUUUAAUGGGUUUUGUACUGUUGUUUUUUGUUUAGGCCCAGAAGUGUAUUUUUUUAUAGGCUUCAUUGUUUACUUGAGAGAAAAGCCGGCGUCCCUUCAGAUUACGACACUCCGAUCGACUCUCUUUAACGUCUGCAGUUUUCAAUUAUUUGCUACUUAAAUCAGCAUUUACGUGACUUAUACCACUCAUCCCACUCUCUCGCGUUUAAUUGAUCUUAGCAUCUUCAAAGGUAACCGAUGGAAACUCCAUCUAUAAAUGUGUAUCAUACACAGUGUAUGCUCCCAGCGAUGAACAACAUUACAUCAACGUAAUCAGAAAGAACAUCUAUGUUAAUCACCUACUUCAACAAUGGCGAAUUUAUGGGCGUGGGCAUGCUCCUCCUUGACCACAACCGAGGUCCACUGUUUGCUGAGAUUCUCGGAGGUGAGGAAUCUGAAGAAAGGUGGCGCGCUAAUGGGUGUGGGCAUGUUCCUCCUUAACCAGAAGGAUGUGCUUAUCGAGACCUUUUCAGUGAAGAUUCAGUUUACAGUUAAGCGGUUUUGAUGCGACAUCAGCUUUUUUGAUAGCUCAAGUCUUCCUCCAAGACAAGGAGAAAUGCUUCUGUUACGUUGAGUUCUGUUACAGAUUCUACCAAACGCAGCACAGAUCUAUGCUUCAAGGAGAAAUUCUUCCUGCAAUCACUUUACAAGGUAAGAAACAAACCUUUUCACAAGUAUUUCCAAUGGAGUUUCCACAACUGUUGUUUUUCUCUGCAGGUUGUGGUCUCUGUAUCAGAAACAAAUCCUCUAAUCAUAUACCUCAUGGACGUUGAGAAGCUUCUUGAGUCAGAAAGAUUCUACAAGUUGUUCCAGAUUCUCUUGAACAAGAUCUCUGGUCCUGUCUUGAUUCUUGGCUCAAGGGUAUUAGUACCUGAAGAUGAUAUCCAAGAAGUAGAUGAAGGGGUCUCCACUCUCUUUCCUUACAACAUCGAGAUCAGACCACCUGAGGAUGAAUCUCAGCUCUUAAGCUGGAAGAAUCGCUUAGAAGAUGACAUGAAGAUGGUUAAGUUUCAAGACAACAAGAACCAAAGUAUCCCUCAUGAACCUCAAUAUCAUUGCAUCUUUGCAGGGAUGUAAGCGUGUGAGCAUGUUUAGCGCCUUAGCUCUUGCAUGCCAUAACAAAUACAAAAGCUACAGGUCUGAGCCAAAAAUUGUGGUGGCCGUCAGCAUAAAUCCGACACUAUUGAUCGCAUCAAGGAACAUGUUGAGGAGAAAGAAAGCAUCCCUCCUGUUCAACAAAGGCUCAUCUACGCCAGAAAACAGCUAACUGAUGGCAAAAGACUACAACAUUCGAAAAAGCUUCGUCAAACUCUUAUAAGGUUUUCAUUUAUUCAUAUCAGUCUAUGGUUUUAUCAGCAAGAAGACAGUAAGUAUAGCUAAUUACAGAUGCACAUGAAUAUAAUUUUCUCUUUUGAUGCUGGACAAAUAUGACGUUAGUUAAUUUCUAUUUUCCUUGGUUAAAACGGCUUAAUCUUUUUACUUAC